rnacentral:rRNA from 1 species
CCCCGGCGCCACAAGUGGUUAUCACGAUUAUUGGGCCUAAAGCGUUCGUAGCCGGUUUGGUGAAUCUCUUGUGAAAUUGUUCGGCUUAACCGGACAGCGUGCAGGAGACACUGCCAGACUCGAGACCGGGAGGGGUUAGAAGUAUUCCAUGGGGACUGGUAAAAUGGGAUAAUCCAUGGAAGACUACCGAUGGCGAAGGCAUCUAACCAGAACGGAUCUGACGGUGAGGAACGAAAGCCAGGGGAGCGAACCGG